GAUGAACGCUGGCGGCGUGCCUAAUACAUGCAAGUCGAGCGAACAGACGAGGAGCUUGCUCCUCUGACGUUAGCGGCGGACGGGUGAGUAACACGUGGAUAACCUACCUAUAAGACUGGGAUAACUUCGGGAAACCGGAGCUAAUACCGGAUAAUAUAUUGAACCGCAUGGUUCAAUAGUGAAAGACGGUUUUGCUGUCACUUAUAGAUGGAUCCGCGCCGCAUUAGCUAGUUGGUAAGGUAACGGCUUACCAAGGCAACGAUGCGUAGCCGACCUGAGAGGGUGAUCGGCCACACUGGAACUGAGACACGGUCCAGACUCCUACGGGAGGCAGCAGUAGGGAAUCUUCCGCAGUGGGCGAAAGCCUGACGGAGCAACGCCGCGUGAGUGAUGAAGGUUUUCGGAUCGUAAAACUCUGUUAUUAGGGAAGAACAAAUGUGUAAGUAACUAUGCACGUCUUGACGGUACCUAAUCAGAAAGCCACGGCUAACUACGU
rnacentral:rRNA from 1 species